AUCCUACGGGGGGCAGCAGUGGGGGAUAUUGCACAAUGGGGGGAACCCUGAUGCAGCGACGCCGCGUGGGUGAAGAAGCGCCUCGGCGCGUAAAGCCCUGUCAGCAGGGAAGAAAAUGACGGUACCUGAAGAAGAAGCCCCGGCUAACUACGUGCCAGCAGCCGCGGUAAUACGUAGGGGGCAAGCGUUAUCCGGAUUUACUGGGUGUAAAGGGGGCGCAGACGGCGAUGCAAGCCAGGAGUGAAAGCCCGGGGCUCAACUCCGGGACUGCUUUUGAAACUGUUGAACUAGAUUGCAGGAGAGGG
rnacentral:rRNA from 1 species